GUGACGAGGCACCGAGCAAACUUCACUAAAAGUAACGCGUAAUCAGUCAACUCUGGCGAAGCUCGCUCGCUCGUGUCGGUUUUGUAACGGUACGACAAUAACACGACGGCGUGUUUGAUUAGUCAAACCAGCGGCAGAAGAAUUGUUCGAUUUGUCAAGGAUUAUGGUGGUGAUGAAAAUCAGUGUCGUGAGAGUGAUAUUUAGACAGGUUAGAACGUUUUUAAUGAACAGUGCGUACCUGACGUAUGGUUGAUACGAAAUGGCCUUCCCGUAGAGAAAGAACUGUAGUACGGCGGCGUUCGGUUUAUCCUAUCCUCGCAGGUUAAUACCUAACCUAACGGUCGCGUCCUUCGAUCACGCAGGACCUGAACGCUCAUUCGCCCUCGCAGAUUCUGUAUUUCACUAAACACGCGAUAUCCAGUGCGGUCUACUGUCGAGAAUCCUUUCGAGACUUGUAAAUCGGAUCCUAUUCAUUUAGCCUAUUCGGCUAACGGCGGCAAACCAGUAGCAGUUGGCAGCCAUUGACAUUCACGAUACCAGCAUGCACUACGUGCUUCUUCUCUUUAGCAGUUCAGCUGCGGUUUUGUAGAUGGCGCGCUACACCUGGCGGACGAUUUGGUUGGCUGUUAGCGGACGAGCUGGGUAAAACCAAUUGAACAAGGGUGGUGCGAGUCAACAUCCUGGAGGAUAUCCAAUUCUUAUAUCUACAGGAUCGAGGAAAAGUUGUGUCAGCGAAAAAUUCGCACACAAUUGCAUUGCUGUUUCCGCACUGCUAGAUGCUUCAGGAGGAGUUCCUGUGGAAAUUGCUAGAGGUUAGGGAGACCUCGUGUUCCUGGGACUAGCGGGACGAAUCAGGCGCUGAGGAAAAAUUCGGUGGAGACCCCCCGAGGGGGUAGUAAGAAGAAGCGAGGGCGAGGAACGAAUGACCAUGGCUUAAGAUACAAGAAGAACGCCCGAGAGUAGAAUGGGAAAGAAGGAACGAAGAAAAGUGGAUAGUACCAGAGUGGCGGGUGGUGCGGGGUACUUUCAAUGCCUAAUAGAUCUUUCCUUGACAGACUUGAACCAGAGAAGAGAAAAGCAAUCAUUAAAUACUUAAAGAUACGCAACUGCUAAAAAUCGAUAGGAAAUAAAUUUUUGAUAAGGCCAUACGAAUUUAUUGAAAAAUUCAUAAAAUUUAUAUCAUACAAAAAUGGAGUGGAACCUGCUCUACCUGGAUUAUUAUAAUUAUUAUAGCCAGACAGAAAAGCCUACGAGUCGUGGAUCCUGCGUGCUGGUCAGCAUAAUGUUAUUUUUGCGUUCUAAAACCAGCAAAAACUGGCCGGGCGUCUGGAGGAGACUGCUUGCUUGCCUACCUACAUAUUCGCCUCGCUACGUCAUCUACAUCGACUACCUGCUAUGUAUAAUCGCACGCACAAACCUCAACCACACGCACCUACCGUGCGCCAAUCAACGAAUUAUCCAUAUCGAGUAUAAGCUAAUAGCAAGGAACAAGAACGCAUCGUAGAGGUGAUGGAAUAAAGGUAGAAUAAUUUUCUUAGAU